AAUAUUUAGAAUUGCAAUGUAUAUGUUAUUCUGCUUAAUAUUUUUCACUCAAGUAGAAUUGCAAUGUAGGGUACAGUUUUGUAGUUAAGGCAAAGUGAAACCAUUUGACUAAUUUGAAGCAAUUUUUUUCAAUGAAAAAUAUUUAAGCAGAAUUCUGGUAGCUGUUAACCGCUUGGCCAAUGUUAACUGUUUAACUGCCACCAUGAGGUAAUACUAAUAAUAAUCUCCUUGCUUAAUCUGAUGUGCAUAGUCCCGUAAACACCUUAGUAAGAUAUUAAGGACAAAAGAGCACCCACAUGAUAUAUGUGAAGAAUUAUCCUGAGGCUGCACCCUCAUGUUUGGGCUAUUUGAUCAGCGUGGUUGCUUCUUGCUGGUAACAAGCUACAGGAAACUUGAAUUUUUGCUUGCAGCACAGCAAGCAGGUUGAGUUAGAUGAACCAUACAAAUUAUCGAGUGGAGAUAGGAUGGUCCCAAUUUUAGACAAAUACCUUUUAUGAGGUGAUGUGCUAACUAGAUAUUUGAUUGAACUUGAGAUGUACAGUGCUUUUGCCCAUGUCGUUUGUUCUUCAUCAAAUCACGUCUCUCUGCCUAAUGGGCACUGGUUGUGAUUAUUUAUUGUUGGUAUUGUCUUCCUAAUUUUCUCUUCCAGUCUGGUUUCUAUCGGUGCUUCAGGUCUGAUAUUGUCAGUUAGUAUCAGUUACUCACCUGUGUUUAAGCAUAGGUGUUACUACCACACUCGAAGACUUGGAUGCUAAGGAGUGUAUUUCCUAAUCCUAAGGACAAGGAAUCAAAGGAUUCUUUUCAUUACUGGUAGAACUUUAGAUGCUUUGUCAAUUCAGGUGUUCUCUGAAAUGUGCUUCCGAAAGAUAUUUUCCAUUGUUAGUAUUGAUGGAUGCUCAAAUGGAGAUCACUGUAAUAGCCACCUUCUCUAUCCAUAUUUAGUAAGUAAUAUUUUUGAGAAAAUACUUGCCACUAUGAUGAUUGGUUGUCUUUUGAGAACCUUAUGGUUGCAAACUGUUUAGUUUUUUGUUCUUUUGUCUUGAGCAUUAUGAACCUACAUUCGGAUCAUACUUCUAAUCUGUUGCCCAAGGUAUUUCGAUAGUCAUAAAGUUUGAUGGCAAACUAAUGUAGCGUACGUUAUCAAAUUAAUUUAUGGAGACGUGCUAGACAAAUGUAAAUAAUUUCUUUUCUUCAAGUCACUGCUGGUGAUGUCCAUGAUUGAGAUGCCGGACAAACACGUAGUGCAUAGGGGAGCCUGGUGCUCGGAUGUCUCGUAAUAUUCAUAUUUAGAUGCUGGAUAGACACCUGAUGGCUAAGAUAGCUUGGUGCUCGGAUGUGCUGUAAUAUUUAUGAUUCAAAUGCCGAAUAGACACCUAUAUUAAUAUGUUGAUGAUGUGCUUCCUCCUAGAUAUAAUGCUUUCAUAU